GAUGAAGAACGUAGCGAAAUGCGAUAAGUAAUGUGAAUUGCAGAAUUCAGUGAAUCAUCGAAUCUUUGAACGCACAUUGCGCCCGCCAGUAUUCUGGCGGGCAUGCCUGUUCGAGCGUCAUUACAACCCUCAGGCCCCCGGGCCUGGCGUUGGGGAUCGGCAGAAGCCCCCUGUGGGCACACGCCGUCCCUCAAAUACAGUGGCGGUCCCGCCGCAGCUUCCAUUGCGUAGUAGCUAACACCUCGCAACUCGAGAGCGGCGCGGCCAUGCCGUAAAACACCCAACUUCUGAAUGUUGACCUCGAAUCAGGUAGGAAUACCCGCUGAACUUAAGCAUAUCAAUAAGCGGAGGA
rnacentral:misc_RNA from 1 species